AUGUUUGAUUUAUCACUAUGUAUACUAAAAUUGGAGCAGCACAGAGAAGAUUAAUUGGGCUCCUGUGCAAGGAUGGUUGACACAUUUGUGAAUCAUUCCAUACUUUG